ensembl:lncRNA
AAAGCCUUGUGCAUCAAACUGAGAUGUUAUUGGGCAUCAGAGGAGCUCAGGAUUGGCCACAAGCCAGCUCUCCCCCUAUGCCAGUAAUGGUGGUCUCCACUUCCCCACCGCCUACUGUGGCCACAAGCCAAAACUUCAGUUAUCAUAACACAGAUACUGCUGAAGUCAGAAGUGCCUCACCACAUUGUUCUCCAAGCAAUCUGGGUUCAGUAGCAGAGGGACUUCCUGAAUUGUCCUCAGGAGCAGGGACGAUGGAGGUCAACUUCAGUCAGAAUGGGCAAAGCCAGCAGACCAUUCCUCAAGGUUUAGGGUUCUCAGACCAGAACAAUGAGCCUCCUCAACCAGCCACAAAGACAGGAUGGUUCAGUGGUUGGUUUAAAUCAAAACCCAAAGAUGUCCAAAAGGAGAAUUCGGAGCCGAGUAACCAAGCACAGACAGUACCGCCCACUGCUGGCUCUUGGCCUCCUCCACCGCCUACCGCUGGCCCUCCUGGCAUGUUUCCCUCCCAGCCUCCCUCUGCUGGAAUAAACGCCUUUU